GGUGACGGCACGCUCAGAGUUUGGGAUGUCAAGGGCGCCGUGUGUCGAUUGGCGAUUCCUGCACACAAGGCUGAGAUCCUUAGCUGUGAUUGGUGCAAAUAUGACCAGAAUAUUGUGGCCACAGGCUCAGUAGACUGCAGUGUGUGUGUGUGUGGGACAUGAGGAAUGUCCGGCAGCCUGUCAAUCAACUGCUAGGCCACACCUAUGCCAUCCGCAGAGUUAAGUUUUCUCCGUUCAGUAAAACGUUGUUGGCGUCCUGCUCGUACGACUUUACUGUCAGGUUAAAAGACUGUAGCGGCGCAUGUGGUCUCCAGCACCGAGUCGUAUUUCUGCUUACGCUCCUUUUCUUUCAAUUAGCAAGCAAAGUGGAUGGAUGGUGUCAUGAGUAAGGACACUGUGAUAAUGUGCGAUAAAGUUAACUGGUGUGCGAGGCGGAAAGACAGAAAGAUGGAGACGAGAUGAGCUGUUUCUUUAUUGAGCUGCAGAGGAUGAGUCAAUAAAUCUGUAAUAUCCAGCAAGACUGCCUCUGUUUCUCUCUUUCUCUCUCUCUCUGUGUUUCAGUUUUAUUUAACAUAAAGUUUAUUCUGUAAAACUGCUGACGAUUCAUUUUCCCCUGUCUGUCUGUCUCAGAGGUUUCAAUGAUAGAUGAAUACAUUUACAGAUUACAGAUAGAUGAAUGAUAGAGAGAGACGGUCACUGAGAAAUUGAGCAGCGCUAAAAUAACUAACUGAUUAAUUGAUUAGUCAAUCAACAAGAAUAUCAAUCAUUCCAGAUCCUUUCUCUGUUUUCUCUGCAAAUUUAAUAUCUUUGGUUGGUCAGGCUUCGUCUUUAAACUUAAUUUAAAGACGUGACUUUAGGCUCUGGGAAAAAAGUGAUCGACAUUUCUCUCUACUUUAUGGUCAAUAAAGAAAAUAAUCAUUAUCACAGAGCUUCUAUGGAGCAAUAAUGGGUGGAGUUGGGGCUUCUGGAAGUUUUAUCCUAAUUGAAAAUUUGCAUUUGCUGAGGGGGGUCACGAAAUGAUUAGAGAUGAAAGCAAAGAAAACAUUUCUGCAACACAAGAUUAAAUUUACUUUUUCAGACUUUCAGACUUUAAUCUUUGCUUUUUCCUUCCGAAUUACUGGAGUGUUUUACUUUAAAUUAAUCAAAUUAAACAAGAGAAAAAACUGCUCAUUUGGCUGAAGUGAUCAGAGCUGGUAGACAUAUGGAACAUCGCAAAAACAUGUUGUAACCACUUUAACUUACUCAAUUCAACGUCCACUGCAGCUGAUGUGACACUUUACGAAUGAAGAUUGGUGGCAAUCUAAAAGACGGGUGACGCUAAAAUAAACGAGACAGAAUGAGAGAGAGGGAAAGAAGGAAGGCUGAAAGAUAAAUGUGGUGAGAGCUGGCUCUGUGCCCAAAGCUUGUGUUUUAUUGAUCCGUGCUUUCAUUGGCUGAAAUACUCUAUGCUGAGUACUGAUUUCAUUAUAGGCUGCCCUGACACACACACACAGGCAGACUUUUCCCUGAGGCUGCUAAAAUCGCCUUUUUAAGCUCUCCCUCUCACCGACACAGUUAAACACAUUCUCACCUGUUACCUGUCCGUCACAGAGAAGUCUGAACUCGAGGUGAAGGUCUGGAGGAUGAAGCUACCGAUGCCCCCAUAAGUCCACGGCUCUCUGUGCAACGUACGAUUAUCCACCAGUCUCAUUAACUGAACAGUGGUCAGAAUCAAAACAGCAUAGGUCGAGAUAUCUUGUCUGUAGUACGGGUCAAGAUGUCAGGAAAGCUGGACACUAAAGCACAUUUAAAAACAACAAAGUGCUGUACAAAGUAAUGCAGUUAGAACAACAAGAAAUAAAGAAGCAGACCAAUCAGAUAAAAAGCAAAGACACAUACAGCAAUAAAUAGAAAUAUGAAGCAACCAGGACAGAAUAGCAUAACUGUCCCUACACUGACUUGAAUGCCAAAGAGUAUAUAUGCAUUUUAAGACGAAACUUUAAAAUCUCAGUGGUUGGGGAUGAUGUAAUGAAAAUGGGAAGUUUAUUGCACUUGUCUUGGGGCCACAACUGAAAAGGCACGAUCACCCUUUUCAAUAAAGCCUGUGGAAGAGCUAAGAGGACCGGAAGAUACAGAGUGAGCGGGUCUAAAAUAUACGAUGUAGUCAGUCCAUGCAAGGCCUUAAAAACAAUUAAAAGCACUAGUAACCAGGGAAAAAGAGCCAGUAUAGGAGAGAUGUGGUCCCUUUUCCUUGUGCAAGUCAGCAAUCUAGCAGCCGCAUUCUGAACAGGCUGCUAACGUGAUAAUGAUGCCUGAAUACAAAGAAUUGCAAUACUCAGUUCGGAACGAUACCAGUGCAUCUACAACAAUCUUCAAAUCCUCAUGCGAGACAAAAGAUUUUAGUUUUGCAGUAGUUCUUUAAAUGAAAAACCUUUUGACAACAGAACUAAUUUGUUUGUCAAAUUAUAACACAGAGUCAAAGAUUUUUGGACAAGGGCCCCAAAUGCCAUAGCAAGGUGACGACUUGUUCUCAGCGGGUUUAAUCAGGAAAUCACCACAUCAUGUCGGUGCAGAGGAACUCUUUACAGCGUUCUUCAAACACUGAGAAGUUGCUGUUUCUUUAAUUUAAUCUUACACUCUGUCUUCUCCUUUAUUGAGUUGCCUGCUGUACAUCAGAGAUAAUCCUUAAUGCAUUCAUUACUGCUGUGAUAACACGGUUUCAGAGGGUUUACUGCAUCUGAUGUUAUCUUAUUUAAACAUUGUUAAUUUGACGGAGUCAGAGCUACAAAUGAUCCUGUAGUUGUUUGUGUGUAUGUGGGUGUGCUUUCUUCUGUUGUAACAGCACAUAGAUUUGUUUUGUGAAAUUCUUUUUCUCGGGUAAAAUAUAUAAAGCAGUUAAAGUGUGUGUUUGUGUGUGUUAAAAUAAAAAAUAUUAAAUAAACAUUUAACAGUAAGCCUAUGUGUGUUGUGAAUUUAAUUCAUAUGG